CGCUUGGCUGCUCCUGGGCCUCAGCCUGCCUGCCUGCACCAGCAGCGCGCCUGGGUUCUGGGGUCCCCAGCGUCGCCCCCGUCCGCCUGCAGCGCCCGGCGCCCACCCUGGAGCCCGCCCUGGAGCGCGCAGCUGGGGUGCUGGGGAUAUAACGGUGAGCGAGAGACCCGGGCCCUUGUUCCCGUUGAUCCUGCAGCCCAGUGGAUGGAGCCCACAGUUCCCAGAACUGCCAGGAAAGACAAAAGUUUUCCUGACGGUUGGUCCAAGCUGGGGCUCCCCGGUGGAUUGAGGAAUGUCUGGCUUUUCCUCAGCUCAUUGGUCUCUGUGGUAGCCACAGGCAGCCCUCAGAAGACCCCAAGGAUGAGAGGCCUGAGGUCCAAAAGUUGCUGCUAGAAAUUUGUUAGCCUCUCCAAAACAAAAACAAAUAAACAAACAAAAACAAAACAAAACCAAAACCAGAAUGCAGCUGCCACACAAGUUUGUAAGGUAGAUACGAGGGCCCUGUAAAACUUGAUGGUGAAGCUGAUAGUUAAAUUCCUUUCCAUGUAAAAAAAAAUUUUUUUUUACCUUCACAUUUUGAAAAUACAUCUUUUUGGGAAGACAAAGUAUUAAAUAUUUGGGGAAGUGCUUUGGUUUGUAUUUCUAUCAGAAUGUUAACUCAGGUGGCCGACCCAUAGAGGAAGAAAGACUCCGUUAGUACUUUCCAUGUAACAGAUUUAGAAAGCCUACCAUCAAAGAGAAUGAACUACACCACGAAUUUAAUUUUAAAACUCUAUGGCAAUAUCAUAUACAAAAUGCACGCUUAAUUUUCAGCGUGCUAUUCGAUAAAUUUUGUCGAAUGUAUAUGC